GAUUGAGAGCUUGCUCUGAGAAGUUAGCGGCGGACGGGUGAGUAACACGUGGGUAACCUGCCCAUAAGACUGGGAUAACUCCGGGAAACCGGGGCUAAUACCGGAUAAUAUUUUGAACUGCAUGGUUCGAAAUUGAAAGGCGGCUUCGGCUGUCACUUAUGGAUGGACCCGCGUCGCAUUAGCUAGUUGGUGAGGUAACGGCUCACCAAGGCAACGAUGCGUAGCCGACCUGAGAGGGUGAUCGGCCACACUGGGACUGAGACACGGCCCAGACUCCUACGGGAGGCAGCAGUAGGGAAUCUUCCGCAAUGGACGAAAGUCUGACGGAGCAACGCCGCGUGAGUGAUGAAGGCUUUCGGGUCGUAAAACUCUGUUGUUAGGGAAGAACAAGUGCUAGUUGAAUAAGCUGGCACCUUGACGGUACCUAACCAGAAAGCCACGGCUAACUACGUGCCAGCAGCCGCGGUAAUACGUAGGUGGCAAGCGUUAUCCGGAAUUAUUGGGCGUAAAGCGCGCGCAGGUGGUUUCUUAAGUCUGAUGUGAAAGCCCACGGCUCAACCGUGGAGGGUCAUUGGAAACUGGGAGACUUGAGUGCAGAAGAGAAAAGUGGAAUUCCAUGUGUAGCGGUGAAAUGCGUAGAGAUAUGGAGGAACACCAGUGGCGAAGGCGACUUUCUGGUCUGUAACUGACACUGAGGCGCGAAAGCGUGGGGAGCAAACAGGAUGAUACCCUGGUAGUCCAGCCCGUAAACGAUGAGUGCUAAGUGUUAGAGGGUUUCCGCCCUUUAGCUGAAGUUAACGCAU
rnacentral:rRNA from 1 species